rnacentral:rRNA from 1 species
AACGAACGCUGGCGGCAUGCCUAACACAUGCAAGUCGAACGAGACCUUCGGGUCUAGUGGCGCACGGGUGCGUAACGCGUGGGAACCUGCCCUUAGGUUCGGAAUAACUCCCCGAAAGGGGUGCUAAUACCGGAUAAUGUCUUCGGACCAAAGAUUUAUCGCCUUUGGAUGGGCCCGCGUUGGAUUAGCUAGUUGGUAGGGUAAAAGCCUACCAAGGCGACGAUCCGUAGCUGGUCUGAGAGGAUGAUCAGCCACACUGGGACUGAGACACGGCCCAGACUCCUACGGGAAGCAGCAGUGGGGAAUAUUGGACAAUGGGCGAAAGCCUGAUCCAGCAAUGCCGCGUGAGUGAUGAAGGCCUUAGGGUUGUAAAGCUCUUUUACCCGGGAUGAUAAAGACAGUACCGGGAGAAUAAGCUCCGGCUAACUCCGUG